rnacentral:lncRNA from 1 species
UUCGGAUUAAUGCAUAUCAAGUGAUUGUUUGAUAACCUAACCAGGAAGAAAUAUAGAUCCUAUGAUCUAAUAUAGUAUGGUCUAUUUUUCUGUUUUGCUUGGUAUGGUACCUUAUUCGGUUUAGCUUUCGGGUUAAUGCGUAUGAAGUGAUGAUAACCUAACCGGGGAGGAAGUAUAGAUCUGCGAACACUUAAAUUUUAGAUUGUUUCGUAAGAUUUUGUUAUCAUGAUAUCUUCUGCAGUUUUGCUUCAGUUCACUUUUGAUCCAAUGAGGGGUAUUUAAGCUAACAAAUUUCUCAUUUGUUCUGCUUAUGUUGAAAUAAUAUUGGUUAAAGAGUAUCCUUAUCGAGCCUACCAGUGGUAAUACCGGCAUUGGAUUGGCUUUCAUUGGAGCAGCUAGGGGUUAUAGAGUUAUUGUCACUAUGCCAGCUUCUGUGAGCAUUGAGAGGAGAAUCGUUCUUCGAGCUUUUGGAGCUGAAGUAUGCCUCACAAACCCAGCCAAGGGCUUUAAGGGGGCAUUAGACAAGGCUGACGAGAUACUGAAGAACACACCUAACGGUUACAUGCUACGGCAAUUCGCAAACCCUGCCAAUCCUCAGGUAGCAUCUUUACUGUUGUAACAUUUCUAUUGUUUCAUCAGGUGAUGUUUAAAAGAAGUAACGAAUUCUUUGUUUAAGAUUCAUUACGAAACCACCGGUCCAGAGAUAUGGAAAGACUCGGAAGGGAAAGUUGAUGUACUGGUUGCAGGCAUAGGGACUGGUGGUACAGUAACAGGUGCAGGGAGAUUCCUCAAAGAGAAAAACUCAGAGAUCAAGGUUUGUUCCCCAUUCGAGACCGAAAUUUAGACAAGGAGCCUAUGUCCUUGUUGUUAUAUUCAUAAGAGCAUAUUCUUCUUUUGUCAAAGUAUAGGUAUAUGGGGUAGAACCUGUUGAAAGUGCAGUCUUGAAUGGUGGAAAACCUGGUAAAUUUUCAAGUCACUUUCUUCCUUUUUUAUGUGGUUCGUGCAGUAUCUGGUACUUGACUAUUUCCUUCAUUGCAUUGCCUGUGUGAUGCAUGUCAAAGGCUCUCAUCUGAUCCAAGGAAUUGGUGCUGGUAUCAUCCCUGAUGUUUUGGAUGUUGGCCUCCUUGAUGAAGUUGUCCAGGUAAGUCUCAACAGCAUGUUCAAUAUUUCAAACAGCUCUUGGAAACUCUGCAAUUGGUUCGAUUUCUGAAAAAUUAAUGAACUUUCGUUUUUGUCACAAGGAUAGUACUUGUUUCCCUUCUAAUAAUCCGUUUUCCUUUGCCAUGGGAAGCACCAAUCGUCUGAUCCAUUGAUUAUCCUGUAUGAUGGCCAUGGUAGCUUCCUAGAAACAGUCCAAUGAAACUUUGCACAUCAAUCACCCGAUCCAUUGAUUCUCCUGUAUGAUGACCAUAGUAGUUCCUAGAAACAGUUCAAAGAAACGUCGCAAUCGCUUCAGUUUCUGAAAAAUUAAUGAUUUUUUCAUUUCUGUCAUGAUAGCAGUACCAUUGAUUCUCCUGUAUGUUGACCAUAGUACUUAUUGCUGUUCUAACUUCUUAGGUAUCUAGUGAAGAAGCCAUUCAAACUGCUAAACAGAUAGCCUUGAAAGAAGGUUUACUGGUAUGUUUGUAAUCGUUAAUCAAUUCUUACGACCCUCUAGAUCACUUGUUCUUCUUUUGUCCUUAUUCUCUUGAUCAUAUGAAUAAUAUUGACAGGUUGGUAUAUCAUCUGGUGCUAAUACAGCAGCUGCAAUUAAGUUGGCAAAGAGGCCAGAAAAUGCUGGCAAACUCAUAGUUGUGAGUUACAUUCCCUUCUUCAAGUUUAUCUAUAUCUUAUAGGCUAUAAUAAUUGUUGAUAUUUUUCGGAUUCUUCAUUUUUUUCUAUACUAUUGGUGAUAUAUACUUGAACAUAGGCAUGAAACAUAAGCAGGAGAUAUGACCCAAAAUGCUCAUGUUUUUUUAUUUGUUUAAUUGGUUACAUACGACUAACACUUGAGCUUCUCUGUUUUUAUAUCAGGUAAUUUUUCCCAGUGCGGGUGAGCGUUACCUGUCGUCUGCAAUGUUUGAGUCCCUAAGGCAUGAAGCAGAAAACAUGCCCAUUGAUUGAUGCCAUUGUUAUCCUCAAUCACAAAUUCCUUGUACUUAGCAUUCCACUAUGAACUAUGUCUACCUCUGCCUUUUUCUUUGUAUUUUGUGUUCUAUGUUAUUCGGGUUUAAGAUAAAUAUUAAAUACGGGUACGUGUAUGACAUGUAUAAGCUCAAUUUUUUUUUCGUUUUUCUUUAAUUUCCAUAUUUGAAUAUUUGGAAGGUUGUCAAAGAAUCAUAUUUUUAUACCAUAUUUGAAUAUAUGUGGAUAUCGAAACAUGAAUAUUUCUAGAAAAAUAAAAGAAAAUUUAAUAUGAUUUUUUCUAAUAUAAUAGAAAAAAUGUGGCAUAAAUUAAAAAAAAAUUAAAAAUUAAACAAGGUAAGGUGAUUUGUAGUUGCAGGGUUGCUCAGAGGGUUGAAAGACAUGGGCGGAAUGGGAUUGGUAGCGUUAAACGAUGUAGAAUUCUGUGUUGUGGGGGCAUUGAGGAAACUAGCGAAACGAGAAACAAAUGGAUCAGUAAAGGUUGGAACAAUAGGAAGCGAUUAUGAACUCUUUUUUAGCAGGUUUUGAUAAUAACCAAAAUAUGGAAAUCCGAGGAUAAGGAGAAUAAAAACUCAAAGAAGAAGCCUAUAAGGUGUCCGUUGAGGAGGAUGUUAACACUGCAAAGGUGAAUAACCUGGAGCAACUUCUCAUGACAUUUUCUGUUUGGCAGAAGGCAGACUUUUGCAUCCAUGGCAAGAAAAUAUAAAGGGAGAAAAUCAGAUGUUAUGUUAUUUCGAUUCUUUAAUUUUUUCCGAAGUAUUCACGUUUGAUAUAUUUGGAUAUCAGUAUGAUUGUAUUAGGAUAUAUAUAAUCCUAUGAAAAAUUUUAGGCUUGCUGGUUAUAUUAGGUAAGUUCAUACGGUAUAUUUGUGUUAAAAUUUUAUGUAUUUAAAAUUAUAGUUGUAAAUAUGUUUAAUUGAAAUUCUGAUCGUUUACACUUCGAUAUGAAGAGGUGAGGUAAGAGAUUAAAUUGAACAAAAUUGAAGAUAGUAUAAUUUAAUAAAUUAAGGAAUUGACUUUGAAUUGGAUUGAAAUAAUUUAUGUUAUGUGAUAAAGUGAUAAUUCGAUAAAAAUAAGUUAAAUUGAUUCGAUUUAAAUUGGUUGUAUGUGAAAAGAACUGAAUUGAACAGAUUAAAAAAAUAUAUCAAAUAUUAUUUGAAAUGUGGAAUUAUACAAAUGUGGUGAUGAGCUAUGAUAUAUGUAUGAAAUUCUUGAUUUGAUUGAUUGAUAGUAAAUUGAGUAAUGAAUACCCUAUUAAGUUCGGGCAGAGACAUAUAUAGUUGGCAUGUCAUAAGAUAGGAAGAGUUCAGGGUUACUUCGACGACGAGUCGAUGAGGCACUGGGUGCCAAUUUGCUUCGAUUUAACUGAUGAGACACUGGGUGUCAAACCUAUUUAUAGUGCUGGACGCAACUAUUUGCUUCAAGUUUAUCCGAUGAGGAACUGGGUGCCAAACUGAUGUGUUGGUUGGAUUGUGUAUUUGUUCGAGUCCGAGUCGUGUUAAUAGGGAGAUAAAAGAUAAAAAAAAAUGAUGAUAAUGAAUAAGCAUUUGAAAUCCAUGAAAUCAUAAAAUUGAAUGUGAAAUGUGGUAUUCGUUAUUGAGAUGGCAAAUGGAUAAGAAAUGGAAGAAAAAUGCGAAAUGAAAUGUUUAUUUGUGACAUGUGAUGAUAUGAUGAUCAGAUGAUACAUAUACAUAUUGAUAAUAGGUUAUAUAAGACCAGGGAGCUAAUAUGAAAACAUGAUAAAUUGAUGAAUGUGAUUCAAAAUUAGUAUUAUGAAAUAAAGUAGUGAUUGAUAUUUAAUUGACAUUCAAUAUAUAUUUGGUAUAAAGAUGGAUUUCUAUGUUUUGAAUUGAGAUUUCAAAUAAUGAAAUGAAAAUCAAUGUUUGGCAUUAAUUUGAAAUGAGAUAUAUUGUAGAUAAAUAGAUUGUAUGAAAAGUUAAGAUAGUGAAUUGAUUUAAAUGAUAAUUCUUCUGUGAAUAGUAAUGAAAUGUUGAAUAAGUGAAUUGAAUAUUAUAUGAUUGAGUUACUAUAUGGUUCGAUAAUUGUCGAACUCACCUUUUUUAUAUGUAAUUUGCCAUGAUAGACAAACUUUAUCAAGCUAAGUAGCAAGUAGUGUAUAAUUAAAACUUGAGGUAAGUUACUUGGUUUUAAUACAUGUGAACUUACUAAGCAAUUGUAAUGCUUACUCCCUUAUUUCCUUUUUCCCUGUAAUGUCAACUUGUGGAACGUGUUAGGUGGAUCGUCGAGAAGCUCACACUAUCCUGGUAUUGAUUCAGUAGUCUUUCUAUCGUUUAAAACUCAAUUCUGUGGCAUGUAUAUAGGUGAAUCAUUUUUGGUUAUUCUUGAAUGUUAAUAUUUUGGUUCUUGAUUGAGGUUUGUGUUUUAAAUGGUUAUAUGAUAUGUACAUAGGCUAUUUUGGAUUGAUGGUUUAAAGUUAUAAGUUGAAGUUGUAAUUUGUUAUAAUGGUUGCCAUGCAUAAGAAUGAAUUUAAUGAUUACCAUGGUAUGUAUGAAGAGUAAAUGAUGAUUGCAUGUCUGGUUGAUGGGUGUCGAAUCCACCAAUAUAAACCUACGCCUUAGUUUGCAAAUUAUGCAGUAUAGGGAGUAGGGUCGAUCCCUCAGAGACUGGUUUACUAUAAACUGUUGCUCGCUUGACCAGAUUUAUGUCGGGGCAGCUGUCGUGCCCAAGGCGUUCGGGGGGAUAAAAAUUUGAAAAUCUGAAAUUAACAGAAAAAUAACGUCAAAAGUAAAAGUUGAAAACAGAAUAAUAAAAACCGUGAAAUAAAUAUUAAGGAAAAUUAAUUAGAAUGAGCUCAGCUUUAGACACGAAUAGCUCAGCUUUAGACACGAAUUUUCCUCGUCUUUAAACCGAUCCUCGAAAUUGGACGAACUCCUCUUUUCCAAUAAGCUAGUUAUAGCUACCAAGGACGCCUCGGACACCAACUCUUCCUUGUGUAAAUUAGUUAUGGAACGUUCAAUAACUAAUUCUUACCGAUCGAACAACCACGAAACGUUCNNNNNNNNNNNNNNNNNNNNNNNNNNNNNNNNNNNNNNNNNNNNNNNNNNNNNNNNNNNNNNNNNNNNNNNNNNNNNNNNNNNNNNNNNNNNNNNNNNNNGUGGGACAUUUAAAUCCGGUUACUACUUCCCUUGACGGAACCAAACAACAAUCUCCACUUGGCACACCAAUGUGUUCACAGAAAACCAAUUAGAAACGUUCCUUUCGGAAUUCCAACUGUACGUCUAACCACACUAAAUCAAACGACGUCUUUUUUGACUUAGUGUUGAUCUGACUUUAUGAGUUGACAAAAUCAUACUCUUAAUCUGGAGAAGUAAUAAGUACUGAAAUUUUAGGAGUUAAAUGGCUCGGGUUCGUAACUCACGGAUUUUGACGAGGCUAAUUUCGGCCUAAAGCUGAAAAUGGAUUUAGUUGGCUAAGGUUUGGGACAUGUUGGUGUUUGAUAAAUUAAAUAAGGUAGAAAUGGUGAAAAGAUGGGUGAUGUGAUUAGUAUGGGGGUUGGAAUAUAUUAAAGUGGGGUGGUUGACUAUUUGGAAAAAAAUUGAAAAAGGAAUUGCAAAUGGCUUGAUUUGGUGAUUAGCUACUGGAAAUUAAAAAUUGAAGGAAAGGAAACUAAAGAAACAACAAUGCUAUGUGAGAAAAGAGAGAAUGUAUUGAAAGACAACAGCUAAAUGUUUUUUGAUUGAUGAAUUGAUGAACAAUACAUGCUCUAUUUAUACUAGAGGAUUUACUAAUUUAGGAGCCAACUAGUCUAGAAAAUCAAGGAAAAAUAAAAAUAAAAAUAUUCCAUGACAAAAAAUAUCCCAAAAUAAUCUCCCCCACAAAGUCAACAAAAUUUUCAGCUAAUUAAUAUUGGAAAAAUUCUACUUUGGCCCUCCUUCUUUGCUUCUUUCUUCAAUUUGCCCCAAUUGUUUCCUUUUUCUUCUAUUUAGCCCCAAAUUACAUUCCUGCACAAAAUUCAAUAAAUAUGACAAAAUUAGUGGUGCAUUCUCAUAAAUUAACCAAAUUAAUUACAUAAAAUAUAUAACUUUAGCAUUUAAUCACUGGUGUUGGUAUGCUUGAUUUUGGAUCAUGAAUUAGUUGAGAAAUGGUAAUCUUGGGUGAAAUGUAUGGUACAUGUAUAUUUGAUAGUUGUAGUAUAUGCAUUCAUUAAAUUAAAUUGUUUCAAUGAUAUGGUAAGUUUUGAGUAUGUACAAAAGGUAAAUUGUACUACGAUGAUACAUGCUUGUGUGUAUAAUUGAGUUUAAGUUUUGAAUUUGGUUGUGAUGGUGCCAAAUGACAUAAUAGUUAGUAUUAGAAUUAUGGUACCUAAUUGCAUACUUAGUUAUUAAUUAUAAUAGGUAAGAUAAUUCGUAGAUCAUGGUUGAAUCAUGACAUGUUUGUAAUGGAUUGAGUGAGUUUUAUGCACGUCAUAUGUGUACCUAUUUGUACCUAUGAAUUAAUAUAUAGGUUUGGGCAUGAAUUGAACUUUCAAACUUGAUAUUUUUGACUAUCUGGAUAAAAGUAUCGAUACCAGGGGCCAAUGUAUCGAUACUUAACCAAAUGAACAGUGUUUUCAAAUUACAGAAUGACAAAAUGGUAUCAAUAUCAAUUUUAGUAUAUCGAUACCUAUCACAAAAAUAUCGAUACUUAUUUUUUUGGUAUCGAUACUUAGUUCAAAGUUUUGAAAAAAAUUUACAGUUUGGUCAUUUUUCAUGCCCGAAUCUAAUCUAUUGUAUUUUAAAGCUCAAUUUAGUUCCGUUUUCACUUUUUUAAUAAUUAAUGUGUGUAUUUAUAUGAUAAUUCAAUAUUUUGAUUUACAUGUGAUUGUUUCGAAUUUAUUUGUAACAUUUCGUAGCUCGGGUCCGGCAAUCAAAUCGGUUAUGAGAUGUUACACCACUAUAACGUUUAAAUCGUUAUUUAUGCUAUCAAUAUACUCAUGUGUCAAAUGCGGAUAAUCAAGAAAAAUAAAAAGGAAAAUGUUUUCCACAUCAGUAGGCAAGUGCAUACACUGUUGACUAGAACCAUGGAAACACAAUACAUUAUUUUAAGAAUGUAACUAGAAAUACUAUUCUUUGUAACCUAGUGAACAGGGGCCACUUUAAUGAGUUAUCGGUGAAGUGGCCACUUUACAUGUUCUUAUAUGUUAUCUUCUUUUAUUUUUUUCUUGUUCAUCACUGAUAACUCAUUAACCAUGUAAAGUGGCCACUUCACUGAGAACAUGUUCAUCUUCUUUUAUUUUUGUCUUCUUGUUUAUUGUUGGAAUAUCCAAAGGCAUCCCCACCAACUAUUGAUUUGUUCUUUGAUUCUUGUACAUUCUUGGGUGUUUUCUAUUUCCUUUUUCUCAUUACAUGUUUGACUGAUUCUUCUGUUUCCACGGCUUGGGGAACAAGUAUUUCUUGCCUAUUCCUCUGUUAUCUAAGCUGGUUGAUGCCCUUUAUAAACAGUUCAGAAGCUUGCGUUUUGCAAUAAGAAAACCUUGUUUUCCUUUGUUGAAGUGCGGAAAUUCUGAGAAUCCUCCAUGGAGGACAAAUAUGCAAUCAAGAAAGAUGUUACUGAAGUAAUGUUUCUUUUCUCAAUCAUUUAAGUGUUGUUGAUAUUGCCAUUAGUCUUCUGCAACUUGUUUUGAUCUCAUCGUGGCUUAUGCAGUUAAUAGGUAACACGCCUAUGGUAUAUCUGAACAAUAUCGUCGAUGGUUGCGGAGCUCGAAUUGCUGCCAAGCUUGAGCUGAUGGAACCUUGCUCCAGUGUUAAAGACAGGCAUAAAUUUCAUUUACAUUUGAUUUUUACAUUCUUCACAGCAUCUUGCAAACUGUUACCUGCAGAAUAAUGCCUUUGUUCAUUGUUUAUCGAUCCCCAGGAUUGCAUACAGUAUGAUUAAAGAUGCAGAAGAUAAGGGCUUGAUUACGCCCGGGAAGGUAUGGUGCCGUAUUCGAAGAUGCUUUGCUCAGUUUAGCUUCCCAGUUAAUGCAUAUGAAGUGGUUGUUUGAUAACCUAACCAGGAUGAAAUAUAGACCCAAGAACAGUUAAAACUUCAGAUUGUUUUGGAAGACUAUCGUAAUAUCUUCUGCAGUUUUCAAUUGACUUUUGAUCAAAUGAGGGCUAUUUUCAACAUGGAAUGGUCCAGACACGGAACAUUUAAGCUAACAAAUUUCCCGUUUCUUCUGCAUAUAUUGAAAUAAUAUCGGCUAU